rnacentral:rRNA from 1 species
GAUCAUGGCUCAGGAUGAACGCUAGCUACAGGCUUAACACAUGCAAGUCGCGGGGGCAGCAUGAAGGAUGCUUGCAUCCUUUGAUGGCGACCGGCGCACGGGUGAGUAACGCGUAUCCAACCUGCCUGUUACCACGGCACAGCCCGUCGAAAGGCGGAUUAAUGCCGUAUGUGGUCCUUUGCGGGCAUCUAAUUAGGACUAAAGGUUCGGCGGUAACGGAUGGGGAUGCGUCCGAUUAG